GUGGGGAAUCUUGCGCAAUGGGCGAAAGCCUGACGCAGCCAUGCCGCGUGAAUGAUGAAGGUCUUAGGAUUGUAAAAUUCUUUCACCGGGGACGAUAAUGACGCUACCCGGAGAAGAAGCCCCGGCUAACUUCGUGCCAGCAGCCGCGGUAAUACGAAGGGGGCUAGCGUUGCUCGGAAUUACUGGGCGUAAAGGGCGCGUAGGCGGACAGUUUAGUCAGAGGUGAAAGCCCAGGUCUCAACCUUGGAAUUGCCUUUGAUACUGGCUGUCUUGAGUACGGGAGAGGUGAGUGGAACUCCGAGUGUAGAGGUGAAAUUCGUAGAUAUUCGGAAGAACACCAGUGGCGAAGGCGACUCACUGGCCCGUUACUGACGCUGAGGCGCGAAAGCGUGGGGAGCAAACAGGAUUAGAAACCCUGGUAGUCC
rnacentral:rRNA from 1 species